GAUGAAGAACGCAGCGAAAUGCGAUAAGUAAUGUGAAUUGCAGAAUUCCGUGAAUCAUCGAAUCUUUGAACGCACAUUGCGCCCCCUGGUAUUCCGGGGGGCAUGCCUGUCCGAGCGUCAUUGCUGCCCUCAAGCCCGGCUUGUGUGUUGGGUCUCGUCCCCCUUCCCGGGGGGACGGGCCCGAAAGGCAGCGGCGGCACCGCGUCCGGUCCUCGAGCGUAUGGGGCUUUGUCACCCGCUCUGUAGGCCCGGCCGGCGCUUGCCGAUCAACCAAAACUUUUUUCCAGGUUGACCUCGGAUCAGGUAGGGAUACCCGCUGAACUUAAGCAUAUCAAUAAGCGGAGGA
rnacentral:misc_RNA from 1 species